rnacentral:rRNA from 1 species
AUUGAACGCUGGCGGCAUGCUUUACACAUGCAAGUCGAACGGUAACAGGCCUUCGGGCGCUGACGAGUGGCGAACGGGUGAGUAAUGCAUCGGAACGUGCCCGAUCGUGGGGGAUAACGCAGCGAAAGCUGCGCUAAUACCGCAUACGAUCUGAGGAUGAAAGCGGGGGACCGUAAGGCCUCGCGCGAUCGGAGCGGCCGAUGUCAGAUUAGGUAGUUGGUGGGGUAAAGGCUCACCAAGCCAACGAUCUGUAGCUGGUCUGAGAGGACGACCAGCCACACUGGGACUGAGACACGGCCCAGACUCCUACGGGAGGCAGCAGUGGGGAAUUUUGGACAAUGGGCGAAAGCCUGAUCCAGCAAUGCCGCGUGCAGGAAGAAGGCCUUCGGGUUGUAAACUGCUUUUGUACGGAGCGAAAAGGCUCUCUCUAAUACAGGGGGCUCAUGACGGUACCGUAAGAAUAAGCACCGGCUAACUACGUGCCAGCCGCCGCCGUAAAAC